AGAGUUUGAUUCUCGCUCAGGAUGAACGCUGGCGGCGUGCCUAACACAUGCAAGUCGAGCGAAGCAUAUAACAUGAAGUUUUCGGACGGAAUGUUAUCUGACUGAGCGGCGGACGGGUGAGUAACGCGUGGGUAACCUGCCUUAUACAGGGGGAUAACAGUUAGAAAUGACUGCUAAUACCGCAUAAGCGCACAGUACUGCAUGGUACAGUGUGAAAAACUCCGGUGGUAUAAGAUGGACCCGCGUCUGAUUAGCCAGUUGGCGGGGUAACGGCCCACCAAAGCGACGAUCAGUAGCCGACCUGAGAGGGUGACCGGCCACAUUGGGACUGAGACACGGCCCAAACUCCUACGGGAGGCAGCAGUGGGGAAUAUUGCACAAUGGGGGAAACCCUGAUGCAGCAACGCCGCGUGAGUGAAGAAGUAUUUCGGUAUGUAAAGCUCUAUCAGCAGGGAAGAAGAUGACGGUACCUGACCAAGAAGCCCCGGCUAACUACGUGCCAGCAGCCGCGGUAAUACGUAGGGGGCAAGCGUUAUCCGGAUUUACUGGGUGUAAAGGGAGC
rnacentral:rRNA from 1 species